AACUGACCCAACCUUAGCCACCUAAGCUAAAUCAUCUCAAGUUUCUGCCCUAUCAGCUUUCAWGHWHAACACAUUGGACUACCAUGUCUAGUCACGUNCAACAGGAGAAUUAGGUCUCUACUCCMCACCAGCCAGCCUGAGAAACGUCUACCACAUCUAANAAACCCCANCACUCUCYUAAAUUACCCAAUCCUCACUCAGGGAGGUAGUCACAAAAAAUAACAACUCGGUCUCAC
rnacentral:rRNA from 1 species